rnacentral:rRNA from 1 species
UACGUAGGUCCCGAGCGUUGUCCGGAUUUAUUGGGCGUAAAGCGAGCGCAGGUGGUUUAUUAAGUCUGGUGUAAAAGGCAGUGGCUCAACCAUUGUAUGCAUUGGAAGCUGGUAGACUUGAGUGCAGGAGAGGAGAGUGGAAUUCCAUGUGUAGCGGUGAAAUGCGUAGAUAUAUGGAGGAACACCGGUGGCGAAAGCGGCUCUCUGGCCUAUAACUGACACUGAGGCUCGAAAGCGUGGGGAGCAAACAGG